AACGAACGCUGGCGGCAUGCCUAACACAUGCAAGUCGAACGAUUGCCUUCGGGUGAUAGUGGCGCACGGGUGCGUAACGCGUGGGAAUCUGCCCCCUGGUCUGGGAUAACCAUUGGAAACGAUGGCUAAUACCGGAUGAUAUCGCGCGAUCAAAGAUUUAUCGCCAGGGGAUGAGCCCGCGUCCGAUUAGCUAGUUGGUGAGGUAAGAGCUCACCAAGGCGACGAUCGGUAGCUGGUCUGAGAGGAUGAUCAGCCACACGGGGACUGAGACACGGCCCAGACUCCGACGGGAGGCAGCAGUGGGGAAGAUUGGACAAUGGGCGAAAGCCUGAUCCAGCAAUGCCGCGUGAGUGAUGAAGGCCUCAGGGUUGUAAAGCUCUUUUACCCGGGAUGAUAAUGACAGUACCGGGAGAAUAAGCUCCGGCUAACUCCGUGCCAGCCGCCGCAGUAA
rnacentral:rRNA from 1 species